rnacentral:misc_RNA from 1 species
GUUGCUGUGAAAUAAGGAAAACAUUGGUUCUAGAUGAAAUCAUGUGUUAUUGUGUACAGUUUGACACUAGCUAACCUGCUUUAUUUUGAAAAUGAUGAACUCAUAUGCGGAUAUACAGAGCAGCAAUACCAAUCCAAUGUUGUGCUGGCAAGAAUAUGAGCAAAUGUGCCAAAGCGAUGGAACAACAUUGCGGUAAACUGGAUGAUGAGAAUCAAAGCAAAAAAGAAGACGAAAACAAGACCAAUGGGCUCGAUCUGCAGAUAUUCCUUAGUUAU